rnacentral:rRNA from 1 species
GAAAGUAAGAAAGGGCGUAUGGCGGAUGCCUAGGCUCACGGAGGCGAUGAAGGACGUGAUAAGCUGCGAUAAGCUUCGGGUAGGUGCAAAUAACCCUUGAUCCGGAGAUUUCCGAAUGGGACAACCUAGCCGUCUGAAGGACGGUUACUCUUACCAAUGUAAGAGAGCUAACGCAGGGAACUGAAACAUCUUAGUACCUGCAGGAAGAGAAAAUAAAUGAAUGAUUCCCCCAGUAGUGGCGAGCGAACGGGGAACAGCCCAAACCAGUGGCGUCGCAAGGCGUGGCUGGGGUUGUAGGACCGCGACAUUGUAUGCAAAUCGUGAACAGAACACUUUGGAAAAUGUGACCAUAGACGGUGAUAGUCCAGUAUGUGAAGCGAAAUGCAGCAUAGCGGUAUCCUGAGUAACGCGGGACACGAGGAAUCCUGCGCGAAUCUGCCGGGACCAUCCGGUAAGGCUAAAUACUCCCGUGAGACCGAUAGCGAACGAGUACUGUGAAGGAAAGGUGAAAAGAACCCCGAGCAGGGGAGUGAAAUAGUUCCUGAAACCAUACGCCUACAAGCGGUCGGAGCAUCUUACGAUGUGACGGCGUGCCUUUUGCAUAAUGAUCCUACGAGUUACCGUCACUGGCGAGGUUGAGUGUCAUGAGACACGUAGCCGCAGUGAAAGCGAGCCUGAAUAGGGCGCAUAGUCAGUGGGGGUAGACGCGAAACCAAGUGAUCUACACUUGGCCAGGAUGAAGUCCCGGUAACACGGGAUGGAGGUCCGCACCAAUAAGCGUUGAAAAGCUUCUGGAUGAGCCGAGUGUAGGAGUGAAAGGCCAAUCAAACUUGGAGAUAGCUCGUACUCCCCGAAAGGCAUUUAGGUGCCGCGUCGGAUGGUCACCGUGAGAGGUAGAGCGACCGAUAGGACAAGAGGGCUUCACCGCCUAUCGAGUCCUGACGAACUCCGAAUGCUCACGGUCUGCAGUCCGGCAGUAAGGGGGCGGGUGCUAAGGUCCGUCCCCGAGAGGAGAAGAAUCCAGACCGCCGUCUAAGGUCCCGGAGUUCUGCCUGAGUUAGUCUAACGAAGUCUGGUCCCUAUGACAGCUAGGAUGUUGGCUUGGAAGCAGCCAUUCAUUCAAAGAGUGCGUAACAGCUCACUAGUCGAGGGUCCGGGCAUGGAUAAUAAUCGGGUAUAAGGCAGACACCGAAGGCGCGGGAUAGCAUUUAAGAAAGUAUCGGUAGGGGAGCAUACUCACAGCGUCGAAUGGUGUACGUAAGUUAUCCUGGAGCGGUGAGUAAAGCAAAUGUAGGAAUAAGUAACGAUAAGGAGGGUUAGAUUCCCUCCCGCUGUAAGACCAAGGUUUCCCGGGCAAUGCCAAUCAGCCCGGGGUCAGUCGGGUCCUAAGUCUAAGCCGAACGGCGAUGGCGAUGGCAGAGACGGUUAAUAUUCCGUCACUGCCGCAUGGGGCGACGUGGAGACGGAGCAGUGAAACCACCGCGGGGCGACGGAAGUCCCCGUUGAAGAGUGUAGGUGUUGAGGAUGGCAGGCAAAUCCACCAUCCGAGCUGAACUUGAUAGUAUGGAGUCUUCUUCGGAAGAAUCCAAUAGUGUGGGUAAUCAUACUCCCGAGAAAAUCCGCUAAGCUUAACCCAUGCGGCACCCGUACCGCAAACGGACACACGUGGUCGGGUAGAACAUACUAAGGCGUUGAGAGAUUCAUGGUUAAGGAACUAGGCAAAUUGACCCUGUAACUUCGGGAUAAAGGGUCCUCGUGAUGAGCGAGGCGCAGAGAAUAGGUCCAGGCAACUGUUUAACAAAAACACAGGGCUGUGCAAACUCGAAAGAUGACGUAUACAGCCUGACACCUGCCCGGUGCCGGAAGGUUAAGAGGAGAUGUCACUCGCAAGAGGAAGCAUUGAAUUGAAGCCCCGGUAAACGGCGGCCGUAACUAUAACGGUCCUAAGGUAGCGAAAUUCCUUGUCGGGUAAGUUCCGACCUGCACGAAUGGUGUAAUGAUCUGGACGCUGUCUCAACCGUGAGCUCAGUGAAAUUGUAGUAUCGGUGAAGAUGCCGAUUACCCGCGAUGGGACGAAAAGACCCCGUGAACCUUUACUACAGCUUAGCAUUGACCUUGGUCAUCCGAUGUGUAGGAUAGGCCGGAGGCUUUGAAGCGGGAGCGCCAGCUUUCGUGGAGCCAUCCUUGAAAUACGGCCCUUUGGCUGUCUGAGGUCUAACGCGCAGAUGCGCGGACACUGCUUGGUGGGUAGUUUGACUGGGGUGGUCGCCUCCAAAAGCGUAACGGAGGCUUCCAAAGGUGCCCUCGGGUCGAUUGGUAACCGACCUCAAAGAGUGCAAUGGCAUAAGGGCGCUUGACUGGGAGGCAGACAUGCCGAGCAGGCAGGAAACUGGGGCAUAGUGAUCCGGCGGAUGUGUAUGGAAACUCCGUCGCUCAAAGGAUAAAAGGUACUCCGGGGAUAACAGGCUGAUCCCCCCCAAGAGCUCAUAUCGACGGGGUGGUUUGGCACCUCGAUGUCGGCUCGUCACAUCCUGGGGCUGGAGAAGGUCCCAAGGGUUGGGCUGUUCGCCCAUUAAAGUGGCACGCGAGCUGGGUUCAGAACGUCGUGAGACAGUUCGGUCUCUAUCUAUCGUGGGCGUGGGAGUUUUGAGUGGUGCCGUCACUAGUACGAGAGGACCGUGAUGGACAGACCUCCGGUUUACCAGUUGUGCCGCCAGGCGCACCGCUGGGUAUCUGAGUCUGGAUUGGAUAAGCGCUGAAAGCAUCUAAGUGCGAAGCCAGCCGCAAGAUGAGAACUCCAUUGAGGGUCGUCAGAGACGAUGACGUUGAUAGGAUGCAGGUGUAAAGACAGCGAUGUCAAAGCCGAGCAUUACUAAUUGCCCGAACACUUUCUUUA